CUACAACCGGCCCCUUUUUCAUCACUCUUUCUUUUUCUCUUCCUCUUUCUUUCUUUCUUUUUAUCUUUUGAGUUCUUUUCCUUUUUCACUCACCUUUCACAAAAAAAAAGGUGAAAUUCAUCUCUGUCGCUCACAAUUAGCAAAAAAAAUUGUAAACCUCAAACAAAGAAAUCGCAUAAAACCUCAAACCCUCUUAUCAACGAAGAGAAUUCCCACACAAUCGAAGUUUGAAACCAACAAAUCAAUUUCAAGUGUUAAGCUGCUAGGGUCUGGGUCUUCGAAUUCCGACGAGCUGUUUCCAUACGAACCGCGGCGCACUUUACCGUGCCAUGCCGUCGAACGCAAUCCUCUCUGCUCUAUCUCCGGCGUUCAAGCCAUUAAGUGAUCCGUGGAUUCUUGCGACAUCUGAAAUUGAUUAGAUCAGCCAUUUUCAGUUCUGUCGGUUCGUUUUCGGUUUUCAAAACUUCUUUGUAUGUAUGUACGCAUGGUAAAAUCCAAACAGUCUUAACACCAGUUGAUCUAUUCAAUCUGAUUUCAUCUAUCAUCUCGCACUCAGAUUUCUCUAUCUUUAUUUAUCUAUUACCUCUAAUUUAUAACUUUAAAAUGUUUGACUGUUUUCCCGCUUGGAUCAGUAUGAACAAAAUUCUUGAGCGGAACCAUAAAAGUUGCUAUUCCUCACAAGACAAUGUUGCUGAGAACGAAACACAGCAUGCAUGUUGGUUGGAGUCAAAUGCAAAAUCAUAGGAUCAGAAUUUAAGAUUACCAUACGUAUUUGAGAGCACAGCUGAUGAAAAUUUUACCGAUUGCAAAUGAUAAAUGUUACGAGCAUGAGAAACGCAUAACCAAUUUUAGUUCCAAUCAAUUCAGCACGGGAAGUUUAGUUUCUAAUCAUUUUUAGGUUUGACAUUGAAUAGAUUAUUUGUACAAAAAGUAGAGGAAAAAAAAGGAAUGAUUGGGUGUGGAUCAAAGUGAAUUAAAGAUUUCAAAAGAGUCAAUUUACUGUCUACACCUUCAACAAUAUUUCAAACACCGCAAUAACGGGCGGGUACACCAGCUUAUGAAAACUAAAAAUCAAGCAAAAAAUUAUUUUAAAUUAUUCGAAAUUUAAUUUAAAAUGGGCAGAAGAUUGUCUUGGUUAAAACUAGGCCUGGCAAA